UUUCCGUAGGUGAACCUGCGGAAGGAUCAUUAGUGAACGCCCUCACGGGCUUAUAACUAUUCCAAACCUCUGUGAACCGUGCCCUUCGGCGCUAUUGUACAAACAUGGUGUAAUGAACCUCAUAUAUCAUAACAAAACAAAACUUUCAACAACGGAUCUCUUGGCACUC
rnacentral:misc_RNA from 1 species